GAGAAAGACAUAGAGGUUAUGGGAUUGGCUUGAAACCAAUCUGAGGGGGUUCGAUUCCUUCAUUUCUUA
rnacentral:tRNA from 1 species